GAAAAAAAAAUGGUGGUGGGCUGGGUGCGGUGGCUCACGCUUGUAAUCCGAGCACUUUGGGAGGCCAAGGCGGGUGGAUCACGAGAUCAGGAAUUCAAGACCAGCCUGGCCAACAUAGUGAAACCCUGUCUCUACUAAAAAUACAAAAAAUUAGCCGGGCAUGGUGGCAGACGCCCGUAAUUCCAGCUACUCAUGAGACUGAGGCAGGAGAAUCACUUGAACCUGGGAGGCAGAUGUUGCAGUGAGUGGAGAUUGUGCCACUUCACUCCAGCCUGGGUGACAGAGUAAGACUCUGUCUCAAAAAAAAAAAAAAAAAAGUACUUUUUUAGCAGGACUGACCCAGGUAUUGGUGUGUGUUCAGAAAGCUCAGGAGGCCUGGUAUUAAGGCAUGAAUUUUGGAAUCUGACGUCUGAAGAAGACCGUACCCUACCCCAUCCAAAUGACAGUAUUAUUAAGAUGUGCUGUGAGUACAAAAUAAACACUAUAUUUUAAAGGCUUAAUAUCAAAUGCAAAAUAUGGAUUAGACUGAGAAGGACCAAAAAAAGAAACAAAAACAAACAAAAAAUGCAAAAUAUUUCAUUAACAACUUACAAAUAGUGAUUACAUGUUAAAAUGAAAAUGUUUUUGAUAUAUUAGGUUAAGUAAAAUGUAUUAGCUGAGCACGGUGGCU
rnacentral:lncRNA from 1 species